UGUUUCGGCAAGGGGGUCAUCCCGACUUACCAACCCGAUGCAAACUGCGAAUACCGGAGAAUGUUAUCACGGGAGACACACGGCGGGUGCUAACGUCCGUCGUGAAGAGGGAAACAACCCAGACCGCCAGCUAAGGUCCCAAAGUCAUGGUUAAGUGGGAAACGAUGUGGGAAGGCCCAGACAGCCAGGAUGUUGGCUUAGAAGCAGCCAUCAUUUAAAGAAAGCGUAAUAGCUCACUGGUCGAGUCGGCCUGCGCGGAAGAUGUAACGGGGCUAAACCAUGCACCGAAGCUGCGGCAGCGACGCUUAUGCGUUGUUGGGUAGGGGAGCGUUCUGUAAGCCUGUGAAGGUGUACUGUGAGGUAUGCUGGAGGUAUCAGAAGUGCGAAUGCUGACAUAAGUAACGAUAAAGCGGGUGAAAAGCCCGCUCGCCGGAAGACCAAGGGUUCCUGUCCAACGUUAAUCGGGGCAGGGUGAGUCGACCCCUAAGGCGAGGCCGAAAGGCGUAGUCGAUGGGAAACAGGUUAAUAUUCCUGUACUUGGUGUUACUGCGAAGGGGGGACGGAGAAGGCUAUGUUGGCCGGGCGACGGUUGUCCCGGUUUAAGCGUGUAGGCUGGUUUUCCAGGCAAAUCCGGAAAAUCAAGGCUGAGGCGUGAUGACGAGGCACUACGGUGCUGAAGCAACAAAUGCCCUGCUUCCAGGAAAAGCCUCUAAGCAUCAGGUAACAUCAAAUCGUACCCCAAACCGACACAGGUGGUCAGGUAGAGAAUACCAAGGCGCUUGAGAGAACUCGGGUGAAGGAACUAGGCAAAAUGGUGCCGUAACUUCGGGAGAAGGCACGCUGAUAUGUAGGUGAAGCGACUUGCUCGUGGAGCUGAAAUCAGUCGAAGAUACCAGCUGGCUGCAACUGUUUAUUAAAAACACAGCACUGUGCAAACACGAAAGUGGACGUAUACGGUGUGACGCCUGCCCGGUGCCGGAAGGUUAAUUGAUGGGGUUAGCGGUAACGCGAAGCUCUUGAUCGAAGCCCCGGUAAACGGCGGCCGUAACUAUAACGGUCCUAAGGUAGCGAAAUUCCUUGUCGGGUAAGUUCCGACCUGCACGAAUGGCGUAAUGAUGGCCAGGCUGUCUCCACCCGAGACUCAGUGAAAUUGAACUCGCUGUGAAGAUGCAGUGUACCCGCGGCAAGACGGAAAGACCCCGUGAACCUUUACUAUAGCUUGACACUGAACAUUGAGCCUUGAUG
rnacentral:rRNA from 1 species